rnacentral:lncRNA from 1 species
CCUUUGCGGGUCUGAAACUGGCCGCUGCGCACGGGGCGGAGUCGGGGCCGGGAGCGCGCCCCCUCCUGCGGCAGGACGCGCUCGGGGACCGAGUCUCGUUACAGUCAGGACUUCUGCUGGGCAGGGUCAGCUGUUAAUCCUCAAGGCGGAUACCGGGGCGGUGGGGAGAUGGGGCAUAUGGGUGGUGUCCGUCGGUGAGAAACACCUAGCACAGAAAAAGGGUGGCGGCGAGAGGGAGUUCCCACCUGUUGGCGUUCUUCCAGAAAUAAAGACUUGAGAAAAUACCAAGGAGGGGCCGAUCGGUGUGUUUCGGACGCGCCUAGAACCCCACCCUCGGUCAGAGGAAAAGCUCCUGGGGUGAGACGCAGGAGCUUCAGAAAAACCAAGAAGAAAAGCAGCUCCCUCCGCGCGCCACGUCCUCUGCCUCGCACUCCUGCGCGGCCGGCCCAGCCUGCGCCUGGCCCGCGGCCCUUCGCCUGGCUGCGCCUUCCCACCCCGGCCUUCCGGGUGCCUCAGCCGGCGACCUGCCUCCGAGUCCUCCCAUGGCGGUAGCGCGACCCACAGGCUCCGCGAGCGGAGCCCUUUGCUGGCAACUCCUGCUGACCCUCGCGAUCUUAACAUUUGCCUGUGAUGCCUGCAAAACAGUGACACUACAUGUUCCCUCCAAACUAGAUGCUGUAAAAUAUAUUGGUAGAGUUAACCUGAAGGAAUGCUUUAAAUCUGCAAAUCUAAUUCAUUCAAGUGAUCCUGAUUUCCAAAUUUUAGAAGAUGGUUCAGUCUAUACAACAAAUGCCAUUCUUUUGUCCUCAGCGAAGAGAUCUUUUACCGUAUUACUUUCCAACACAGAUACCCAAGAAGAGAAGAAAAUACUUGUCCUUUUAGAGCAACAAACAAAGGUACUGAGGAAAAGGCGUUCUCAAGAAAAAGUUCUAAUACGUGCCAAGAGAAGAUGGGCUCCUAUUCCUUGUUCAGUGUCUGAGAAUUCCUUGGGUCCUUUCCCACUUUUUCUUCAACAGAUUCAAUCUGAUACAGCACAAAACUACACUAUUUACUAUUCCAUAAGUGGGCCUGGAGUUGACAAAGAACCUCUAAAUUUAUUUUAUGUAGAGAGAGAUACUGGAAACCUGUUUUGUACUCGUCCUGUAGAUCGUGAAAAGUAUCCAUCUUUUGAGCUAGUUGCCUUUGCAACAACUAAGGAUGGAUAUACUCCAGAAUUUCCACUGCCCCUACUAAUCAGAAUCGAGGAUGAGAAUGAUAACUUCCCAAUUUUUACAGAAACAACUUACAUUUUUAAUGUUUCUGAAAACUGCAGAGUUGGUACUACCGUGGGACAGGUUUGUGCAACUGACAAAGAUGAGCCUGACACACUGCACACGCGUCUAAUGUACUCCAUCAUCGAGCAGUUACCAGCAUCACGCACCCUCUUUUUUAUGCAGCCAGCUACAGGUGUGAUCACCACAACAUCAUCUCAGCUAGACAGAGAGGUAACUGAUAAAUACCAAUUGAAAAUAAAAGUACAAGACAUGGAUGGUCAAUAUUUUGGUUUGCAGACAACUGCAACUUGCAUCAUUAAUAUUGGAGAUGUGAAUGACAACUUGCCAACAUUCAACCGUUUAUCUUAUGAGACAUCAGUGGAGGAAAAUAUAAUUGAUGUGGAAAUCUUACGUGUUGCCGUUACGGAUAAGGAUUUAAUUAAUACUGCUAAUUGGAGAGCUAAUUAUACCAUUUUAAAGGGCAAUGAAAAUGGAAAUUUUAAAAUUGUAACAGAUCCCAAAACCAAUGAAGGAGUUCUGUAUGUGGUUAAGCCACUGAAUUAUGAAGAAAAACAAGAGAUGACCCUACAAAUCAGUGUAGUUAAUGAAGCUCCAAAUUUUGCUAGUUCGAGAUCAACCAUGAGCAUGGCGACAGUCACUGUUAAUGUACAAAAUCAGGAUGAAGGCCCUGAGUGUCGCCCUGCAGUGCAAAUUGUUCGUAUUAAAGAAAAUGCACCAGGGAGCACAAAGGGCAUUGGAUAUAAAGCACAUGACCCGGAAACAAAUAGUAGCAGUGGCAUAAGGUAUAAGAAAUUAAGUGAUCCAGAAGGAUGGGUCAGUGUUGAUGAAAACUCAGGAUCAAUCACAAUUUUAAGAAGCCUGGAUAGAGAGGCAAGGACCAUCAGAAAUGGUAUAUAUAAUAUUACAAUCCUUGCCUCAGACAAAGGUAAGAGAACAUGUACUGGGACACUAGGGAUUAUACUUGAAGACGUGAAUGAUAACGGCCCAUUCAUACCUCAAAAGACGGUGAUAAUCUGUAAAACUGUCAUGUCAUCGGCGGAGAUUGUGGCCGUAGAUCCCGAUGAACCCAUACACGGCCCACCCUUUGACUUCAGUUUGGAAGGUGUUUCUGAUUCAGAAGUACUUAGAAUGUGGAGACUGACAAAAAUUAACGAUACAGCAGCACGUCUUUCCUAUCUGAAUGACCUCCAGUUUGGAGAAUAUACAGUACCUGUCAGAGUUGCAGAUAGGCUUGGCCAAUCACUUGUCACUCAGUUAAAGGUGAUAUUAUGUGACUGUGUUACCCAAAGUGACUGCGACAUUCGCUCAUCUGUGAUUCCCAGAAGACUGAUACUUGGAAAGUGGGCCAUCCUUGCAAUAGUGUUGGGCAUAGCAUUGCUAUUUUGUGUCCUAUUUACCUUAGUCUGUGGGGCUACUGGGGCAGCCAAAAAGCCAAAAGUAUUUCCCGAUGAUUUAGCCCAGCAGAACCUCAUUGUAUCAAACACUGAAGCUCCCGGCGAUGACAAAGUGGUAAAUUGCUCCACUCAGGGAAUUUGCAGCACCCUGGGAUCCGGAACCGGAGGUGGACAGCACACCCUGGAUUCCUGCAGAGGAGGACAAGUAGAGGCAGACAACUGCAGAUACGCAUACUCCGAUUGGUACACCUACACUCAGCCCCGUCUUGGUGAAGAAUCCAUUAGAGGACACACUCUGAUUAAAAAUUAAACAAUGAAAGAAGGUCCAGCUGUGUAAUCAGGAUAACAGUCAUACGCAUGCACAAGACUACGUCCGGACGUAUAACUAUGAAGGAAAAGGAUCGGCGGCUGGUUCUGUGGGUUGUUGCAGUGAACGACAAGAAGAAGAUGGGCUUGAAUUUUUGGAUCAUUUGGAACCCAAAUUUAGGACACUAGCAGAAGCAUGCAUGAAGAGAUGAGUGUGUUCUAUUUAGUCUACAAAAGCCAGUGGCUUUAAUUGUCUCUUUUAAAUUAUUAUUACAAGCCAGGAUUUUUUUAAAAAUAGAAGAUGCUGUUUUGGGGGCUUUUCCCCUUUAUUUUGUUGAGAUCUCUUUAGCCACAUGUGCUUUUACAGAGGGAUGCUGUGAACAACUACACAAAUUUCCUGAUUUUUCCAUAGUUUUUAAAUACUUGUCUUCCACCUAAGGACACCUGCAGAUAGACAAGUUGAGACAGUCUGCAUUAUUGUUUACAUUUGGGUAUAGUGACAGCAGCCAAUUUGUAGUGCAAUAAUAUGUAAUUAACUCAAGUCUAUAUCAUAGACUACUUGGAGUAUAACCGAAUGGAAAAUUGAAGAGGUCUUGCUCUAACAUUAUCUUCAGUUACCUAAAUUAAUUGUUUGUGUGGUGCUUGAAGACUGUUGUUCUCCUAAACAUUCUAAAGUGUAUACACUGCAUUCUUGCUAUUGUUUUAGUCUUGUAACAUGACCUUGCUUCAUAAAGCAAAGGGAGAUUCCCAACUAAGCGUUGACUGUUAUUAUAAUUCCACUUUGGUGGACUUUAGUUUUUGUGUUGUAUUCUCUGUGAAAUCCGGCACUGAAUCUACAUUUCCUCUGUUACCCACCUUCUCCGCAAAAUUUAAAUUAAAAAAAUGCUGAGGAAUGUAUUUUUUACUCCUGCAAGGUUUUGGUCUUUGGUCCCCGCCACUCCCCACCACCCCUUCUGUCUGCCUCUCACCCUCUCUCUUCCCUCUUUCCCCCUCUCCCUCUCUUUUUCCCUCUAUCUCUCUCUUUCUCUUCUUUUUUGUUCUUAAAAUUCCGAUUUGGGUUGGAGAAUCUAAGUAUGUUUAAAAGCCGCCUCUUUUUCCCUCGCUUAUAAAGUGACUUAUUCUGUGUUUCUGUUUUAUGUAAGCACCUGUAUUCUUGGCUUUUCUUAAAAUCAAUGUAAUGUCAAUUUUUUUGUUUCAGCUAUUUUGGUGAUUGCUUCAUUAUCUCCUCAACAAAGACCCUUUACUUUUGCCAUUCAACUGUAGAAGCAUGUCAUGCUUUUAUUUGAUGCAACACUCUAUGUUAACAAAAGGAAUAGUGUAAUUAAAAUUAGUUUAGUAUAAAAUAGUAUAUUUACAGUUCAUUAUUGCAAGGAUACAGUUUAUAAAUGCAAAAUAGUGAUUUUUUUGAAAUAAGCUUUGCAGUACAGGGAUUGUGAAAUCUCUAGGAAUAACUUUUAUAGCUUUUUAGAUCAGGUGGCUAGUUAUAGCUAUGUGUUUGUAAAGUUUUUUUUUUUUUAAUAUUUUGAGAUUACAGUUUUUUAACAAAUGUCGAACUGGUUCAAACUAUUUAAAUUUUGAAAUAAUAAGACAAAAUUAAACUUAAUAGCCAACCAAAUUCCAGGCUACAUUUCACAGCUGAUUUCAGUCAAUGAAUUUUCUAUCCGUACUAACCAUAUGGACAUUUUUAAAGUAUUUCUGAUAUUUAGGAUUGUUAAUAAUAUGCCUAUUUUGAAUUCACAGGAUUGGCUUAUAACAAUUAUUUUUAAAAAUUAACACUGGGUAAUUUAUUCAAUAAUCAGUUUAUCUUUUCAAUAGUUUCAUCACUACUCAGUCAAAAAUACUAUUUCUCAAAGUUAUUUUUAAUAAAUUAUGUAUAAAAUUCUUGUAUAUUACUAGU